rnacentral:rRNA from 1 species
AUUGAACGCUGGCGGCAGGCCUAACACAUGCAAGUCGAGCGGAUGAAGAGAGCUUGCUCUCUGAUUUAGCGGCGGACGGGUGAGUAAUGCCUAGGAAUCUGCCUGGUAGUGGGGGAUAACGUCCGGAAACGGGCGCUAAUACCGCAUACGUCCUACGGGAGAAAGCAGGGGACCUUCGGGCCUUGCGCUACCAGAUGAGCCUAGGUCGGAUUAGCUAGUUGGUGAGGUAAUGGCUCACCAAGGCUACGAUCCGUAACUGGUCUGAGAGGAUGAUCAGUCACACUGGAACUGGGAAACGGUCCAGCCUCCCAGGGGCGGCAGCAGUGGGGAAUAUUGGACAAUGGGCGAAAGCCUGAUCGAGCCAUGCCGCGUGUGUGGAGAAGGUCUUCGGAUUGUAAAGCACUUUAAGUUGGGAGGAAGGGCAGUAAGUUAAUACCUUGCUGUUUUGACGUUACCGACAGAAUAAGCACCGGCUAACUUCGUGCCAGCCGCCGCGGUAACAC